rnacentral:lncRNA from 1 species
GUCACAACUGCCUGUGACCACUUCAAGUUCCAGUAACAGCUGACCUGGCAACCUGCCGCUGGAUGUAAAAGUGGCCUGAUGUAACAGGAGUAACAAGUUUGAUGUCUGGAACACAAUAGAUGCCCAACAAAUGCAUGUGCUAUCUCGGAGAGAUUGAUCUCAGGAGCUGGACACUUGGAUUACAAGCAUAUUUCUCCUUGCACACUUUCAUGGGAGGAUCAAAAUGAA